rnacentral:rRNA from 1 species
CCUACGGGAGGCAGCAGCAAGGAAUUUUCGUCAAUGGGCGCAAGCCUGAACGAGCAACGCCGCGUGGAGGAUGACGGCCUUCGGGUUGUAAACUCCUUUUCCGGGGGAUGAUAGUGACCGUACCCUGGGAAUAAGGCUCGGCUAACUCUGUGCCAGCAGCCGCGGUAAGACAGAGGAGCCAAGCGUUGUCCGGAUUGACUGGGCGUAAAGCGCACGCAGGCGGUUGGGCACGUGGGGUGUGAAAGCGGCCCGCUUAACGGGCCGAGGCCAUCCCAUACGGCCCGACUUGAGCCUGGCAGAGGUUCGUGGAAUUGCCGGUGUAGUGGUGAAAUGCGUAGAGAUCGGCAGGAACACCAAGGGGAAAACCAGCGAACUGGGCCAGAGCUGACGCUCAGGUGCGAAAGCGUGGGGAGCGAACCGGAUUAGAUACCCGGGUAGUCCACGCCGUAAACGAUGAAUACUCGGCAUCUGGGGGGCGAUAUUCGUCCGCCGGUGCCCCAGCUAACGCGGUAAGUAUUCCGCCUGGGAACUACCAGCGCAGACUUAAAACUCAAAUGAAUUGACGG